ensembl:lncRNA
GCAUUUACUGCUGCUGCUGCUAAGCUGCUUCAGUAGUAUCUGACUCUGUGCGACCCCUGAGACUGCAGCCCACCAGGCUCCCCUGUCCCUGGGAUUCUCCAGGCAAGAACACUGGAGUGGGUUGCCAUUUCCUUCUCCAAUGCAUGAAAGUGAAAAGUGAAAGUGAAGUCGCUCAGUCGUGUCCGACUCUUUGUGACCCCAUGGACUGCAGCCUACUAGGCUCCUCCUUCCAUGGAAUUUUCCAGGCAAGAGUAUUGGAGUUGGUUGCCACUGCCUUCUCCCAUUAGACAUCUGAAUGACAGUAAAUCAAAGGACACAAAUUUUAAAACGGUUGGAGUCAGAAUAUUUCCAAUAUCUGCCAAUAGAGGCUAGAGAGACAGCACUUAACUCAUCAAAAGGUGGAAGAAACAGACAAACCAAUAGAAUAAUCAAAGAACUACAUUCAAAAAGGUGUCAAAGCUCCAUGAUGGAUGGAGUUGGUGAUGGACAGGGAGGCCUGGCAUGCUGUGGUUCAUGGGGUUGCAAAGAGUCGGACAUGGCUGAGCGACUGAACUGAACUGAAACAACAUCUUUAAGAUUAUCCUUGAGGUUUCUGUCCAACUGGACGAUUCUCUUCUUUAAUUUAUAUUCUUAUACUUUCUCCCCUUAUAUUAUAUUGGGUAUUUAAGUAAGAUUGGUUUUUGAUCCCUUUGUUAUUUUCAUGCCUUUUGAGAGACUGUUAACAUUUCAUUUUUAGAGAAUACACUCUCUCACUUUCUAC